UCCUAUACCUAGAAGCCCUAAAAUCCAAAUCGUGAAGUGUGUGUGCGUGAUUUUGAGUUAUGGCCGAGGGAGCGGUAAAGAAAAGAAAACCGAGAACCAAGAAUGAGAUCGAGAGGGCAGAAGGGAAGAGAUAGGGCUGCAAUCAAGUGAAGAGUUGAAGUUUGAUUUCUAGUGUGCCAUUGUUUCAAGGAGGCAUGAAGGGAAAGCAGGUGUGGGUGAGUUUUGGGUUGCUUUGGAGGUUUCUCUGUUCUUUGAGGAUGGUCGGGCAUGAUUGUACACACUGGCUUGAGGCGGAUUUUUGGAAUUAAUAUUGAACUUGUUGUCUUUUCAUAAAUUUUAGAAUUAUAACUAAUAAUGUUUGAAAACAUAAUUGAUCUUGGGGUUUGGUAUUUCAUUUGUUUUGAAUAAAAUAUAUUAAAUGGAUGAUUUAUGUUGUUUU